GGAUUCCUGCCUACUUGUAACCUUCUAAAGGUUGGAAGCCCAGAACAGCCUGCCCCAUUGUCAUGGUAUGGUGGAAGUACAGAAUCUGUUAGCCUAGAAUGAACCAAAGGAAAUGGGGAUGCAUGAAAACCGUCAGUGGGUGCUGCUGCUUCUUCUGGAACCUGCUAAGGGAGGAGGCAGCUUGACCAACCACAGCAAGCAGUGCAAGCACUGCUCACCAAACCUGCUCACCGAGUCGAUUAAGGGAGGUAGAGGAGUAGCAGAGAAGAGAAACUCUCCAAGCAGACCAGAAUUUGAUUGGAUUAAAAAAAGUGUAUUGGAUGUCCAAUACAAAAUAAU